rnacentral:rRNA from 1 species
GCAAGUCGAACGAUGAACCACCUCGGUGUGGAUUAGUGGCGAACGGGUGAGUAACACGUGGGCAAUCUGCCCUUCACUCCGGGACAAGCCCUGGAAACGGGGUCUAAUACCGGAUACCACUCCCGCAGGCAUCUGCGGGGGUCGAAAGCUCCGGCGGUGCAGGAUGAGCCCGCGGCCUAUCAGCUGGUUGGUGAGGUAACGGCUCACCAAGGCGACGACGGGUAGCCGGCCUGAGAGGGCGACCGGCCACACUGGGACUGAGACACGGCCCAGACUCCUACGGGAGGCAGCAGUGGGGAAUAUUGCACAAUGGGCGCAAGCCUGAUGCAGCGACGCCGCGUGAGGGAUGACGGCCUUCGGGUUGUAAACCUCUUUCAGCAGGGAAGAAGCCGCGAGGUGACGGUACCUGCAGAAGAAGCGCCGGCUAACUACGUGCCAGCACG